GUUUGAUCCUGGUUCAGGAUAAACCCUGGCGGCGUGCAUGAGACAUGCAAGUCGAACGGACGAUCGGGGCUUGCUCCGGUCGUUAGUGGCGGACGGCUGAGUAACGCGUGGGUGACCUGCCCCGAAGUGGGGGAUAACUGCCCGAAAGGGUGGCUAAUACCGCAUGUGGCGACGUGUUCGUUCACGUCAUCAAAGCCGUGAGGCGCUUCGGGAGGGGCCUGCGUCCGAUUAGCUCGUUGGUGGGGUAACGGCUCACCAAGGCGACGAUCGGUAGGUGGUCUGAGAGGACGAUCACCCGACUGGGACUGAGACACGGCCCAGACUCCUACGGGAGGCAGCAGUCGGGAAUUUUGCUCAAUGGGCGAAAGCCUGAAGCAGCACGCUGCGUGAGGGAUGAAGGCCUUCGGGUUGUAAACUCUUUUUUCGGGACGAUGAUGACGGUACCUGAGGAAUAAGCACGGCUAACUACGUGCAGCAGCCGCGGUAAUACGUAGGUGGCGAGCGUUGUCCCGGAUUUACUGGGCGUAAAGAGCGCGCAGGCGGUCGUGCAAGUCGAGUGUGAAAGCCCCCCGGCUCAACUGGGGAGGGUCACUCGAUACUGCUCGACUCGAAGGCGGGAGAGGGAAGUGGAAUUCCCCGGUGUAGUGGUGAAAUGCGUAGAUAUCGGGAGGAACACCAGUGGCGAAGGCGACUUCCUGGCCCGUUCUUGACGCUGAGGCGCGAAAGCUAGGGGAGCAAACGGGAUUAGAUACCCCGGUAGUCCUAGCCGUAAACGAUGGACACUAGGUGUUGGUGGUAUCCAACCCCGCCAGUGCCGAAGCUAACGCAUUAAGUGUCC
rnacentral:rRNA from 1 species